AGCCUUGUGUAUCCGUGCUGAGAUUUCGCCACACAUCAGACGACAUGGGCUGAUGAGUCUCUCAAGAUAAGUGAAGCG
rnacentral:pre_miRNA from 1 species